rnacentral:lncRNA from 10 species
GCUCCUGUCUUGCUACAAGGUCCUGAUAGAGACUGAACACUUUCCCAUGUGACACCAAGUUUCUAUGGAUCCUAGGUUGCCUAUCAUGGACUGGGUGUUAUCUGACGCACCAAGCUAUCAAACUGGGAGUGUGCAGUGGUCUUGCAUAGAGUAGAAGAUCAGCCUCAAGCAGGUCUAGAAAGCCCAGGAGAUGCAAUUUGGACGUACAAAGAGACACAAGGGAUGUGCGUCCAUGCAGGAAAGACCGUGUGAGGACCCAGCAAGAAGAAGGUCAUCUAUAAGCCCAGGAGAGAGGCCUCAGGAGAAACCAAACUUGCCACCACUUUUAUCUUGGACUUCUCGCCUCCAGAACUGAUAAAGUACCUACCACAGAAGUGUCCCAGAAGCACACUGAGAACGGAAAUCCUCUUAAUGAACAGUCCAUCUUAUGGUUGUUCACUUUGGAGAAGAUAUGGCCAAAUUAUGGAUCUCAACUGAUUCAUGGACAGUCUAAUGGUUUGGCCAAGUGGUCAGGAAUUUGGAAGAAAUAAGAAAGUUCGGGGAAGAGGUGUGUGGAUAGAACUCUCAGAAUGAGCACAAAGUUGGAAGACUUAAAUGUCCUAUGUGAAUGUUGAACAAAGAAAUACACUUUGGAUUUGCCCUGCCUACCUGCAAUGCUCUGUUACCAGCACUCCAUGGGCUUCAUUUAUUGCCGUGGUAUUCUGCUCUGCAUUGUUUCUGACCAGAGACUCGUUUUACAGUGAAGUGCUGUAGCCAUCCCUUCAGCCCAUGGGAUUCACUGGUUUUACCAUAUAUGGUGUCAUCCAGAGCAGUUGGCCUUGUGAAAUAUUGGAAUGCACCACUGAAGACCCAGGAUAAUUACUACCCAAGGAAUGUACGGGAGCUGGGUAUUAUCACCUGUCUACCCAACAGGCCUCCGCUUCCCCCAGAACAGAAAUGGGUUUGCAGGGCUGGAGAUCCUAAUGAACAGAAACCUUGUACACACAGCCGAAGCCCUGGGAAUUCCUUGCUGCAGCAUGCUUGGAGGCCACUGGUGCCGCUCAUGUGGCAGGUGAGAUGUGGAAGAAGAAGCAUCUAUCAGGUAAUUGAGGCUGGAGGCAAGAUGCAGAAUUCAGAAGCUACCCCCUACCACCCCGUCUCCUGUCUUUUAAGGUGAUUUUGUUAUUUUGAAAACCAGGUGCAAGAGGGGCUUUUGCUAUGUAACAAACCACCUCCAAAUUUAGUGGCUUAAAAUAAUAUAAACAUUCAUUAAGUUUAUGAUUGUGAAGGCUGGUAGUUUGGGCUGGGGUUACUUCUCAUCUCAGCUGGGCUUAUUUAUGCAUGUGCAGUUAGCUGUUGGGUUGGCUGGGAGCUGGCUGUACUAAGGCAGCCUCAGCUGGGAUGGCAUGUCUUUGUUUAACAUGGUCUUUCAUCCUCCAACAGGUCAGCUUGCUCACAUGGCAGUUAGGCAGGACUGCGAAAGGGGGAGGGAGAGAGAGAGUGCGAGAGAGAACGAGAGAGAGCAGAAGCAUUUUUUGAGGCUGAGAGUUUGGAAACAGCACUAUGACAUGUCCAUGGCAUUCCAGCUACUGGCCAAAGCAAGUACAAGGCAAGUUCAGAUUCAAGGGAGAAAGAGAUGCUUCCUCUGCAUAGGAUGAACUAUCAAGUCAC